rnacentral:rRNA from 1 species
GAUUCCUUAAACGGAUAACUGCGGUAAUUCUGGAGCCAAUACGUGCUAAAAAGCCGACGUAGCAAUACGGCGGUUGCACUUAUCGGAGCAAAAUCAAUCUUGAUUCGAUGCUAACUCUGGAUAACCAAGCUUAUCGCAUGGCGCAAGCCGGCGAAGUAACAUUCGAGUAUCUGCCCUAUCAUCUAUCGUAGGUAGUGUAUUGGACUACCCAGGAUGUAACGGGUAACGGAGAAUCAGGGUUCGACUCCGGAGAGGGAGCCUUAGAAACGGCUACCAUCGCUAAGGCGAGCAGCAGGCGCGCAACUUAUCCACUGUCCACUCGGACGAGAUAGUGACGAGAAAUAACAAGUUCGUUCUCUUUGAGGUCGAGCAUUGGAAUGGACCGAAUGUAAACGAUUCGGUGAGUACCCACGAGAGGGCAAGUCUGGUGCCAGCAGCCGCGGUAAUUCCAGCU